ensembl:lncRNA
AUGGCCGCGGCCGCGCUGCCGCUGCUGCUGCUGCUGCUGGGGACCCCCGGGAGCGCCCCCGAAACCCCCCGAAAUCCCCCCAAAAUCCCCCAAAAUCCGCCCGGGACCCCCCCCGAGACCCCCCCCGAGACCCCCCCCGGGACCCCCCAAAACUGCCCCAAAAUCCCCCCAGGGAGCGACCCCGAAACUUCCCAAAACUGCCCCGAAAAUCCCCAAAAUGGCCCCAAAUUCUCCUCCGGGACCCCCCAAAAUUCCCACAAAACCCCCCAAAAUCCACCCGGGAACUCCCCCGGGACCCCCCAAAACUGCCCCAAAAUCCCCCCAGGGAACGACCCCGAAAUUCCCCAAAACUGCCCCGAAAAUCCCCAAAAUUUAUCUGAAACCCCCCAAAAUUGCCCCGAAAAUCCCCAAAAUUGCCCCAAAUUCUCCCCCGAAAACUCCCAAAAUCCUCCCGGGACCCCCCCCGAGACCCCCCAAAACUGCCCCAAAAUCCCACCUGGGACUGAGCCCGAAAACUCACAAAAUUGCCCCAAAAAUCCUCAAAAUUGUCCCGAAAAUUCUGAAAAUUGCCCCCAAAAUCCCCCAAAUUGCUCCAAAAAUCCCCAAAAUUGCCCCAAAUUCUGCCCCGGGACCCCCCAAAACUGCCCCGAAACUUCUCGUGGGAUUGAGCCCCAAAAUUCCCAAAAUUGCCCCAAAAAUCCUCAAAAUUGUCCGGAAAAUUCUGAAAAUUGUCCCGAAAAUCCCCAAAAUUGUCCCGAAAAUUCCCAAAAUUGCCCCAAAACCCCCUCGGAGACUGACCCUGAAAAUUCCCAAAAUUGCCCCAAAAUUUUCCCCAAAAAUCUUCAAAAUUGCCCCAAAAAUCCCCAAAACUGCCCCGAAAACUCCUCCGGGAUUGAGGCGGAAAUUGCCCAAAAUUGCCCCGAAAAUUCCCAAAAUUGCCCCGAAAAUCCCCAAAAUUGCCCCGAAAUUUCCCCCGAGAUCGACCCCGAGAAUGGUGAGUGGGGAGGGGUCAGGGGUCACUCGGGGGUCAGGGGUCACUCGGGGGUCAGGGGUCACUCGGGGGUCAGGGGUCACUCGGGGGGUCAGGGGUCACUCGGGGGUCAUGUGGGGGUCAGGGGUCACUCAGUGGUCACUUGGGUGGUCAGGGGUCACUCGGGGGGUCAGGGGUCAUUCGGGUCAGUGGGAGGAGUCAGGGGUCACUCAGGGGUCAGGGGUCACUCAGUGGUCACUCCGGGGUCACUCAGGGGUCACUCAGAGGGGUCAGGAGUCACUCAGGGUCACUCAGGGUCACUCCUUGGUCAGACAUUGGUCACUCAUUGGUCACUCAGCAGUCGCUGGUCACUCAUUGGUCACUCAAGGGUCAGGGGUCACUCAGGGUCACUCAGGGGUCACUCAUUGGUCACUCAGUGGUCACUCACCGGUCACUCAGGGGUCACUCAGUGGUCACUCAGGGGUCACUCAGAGGGGUCAGUGGUCACUCAGAGGGGUCACUGGUCAGUGGUCACUCAGGGUCACUGGUCACUCAGGGUCACUCAGGGUCACUCAGGGGGUUCAGGGGUCACUGGUCACUCACUGGUCACUCACUGGUCACUCAGGGCUGCUGGUGCUGACCGUGGCCACGGCUCUGUCAGUGGUCAGUGGUCACUCAGAGGGGUCAGUGGUCACUCAUUGGUCACUCACUGGUCACUCUGUGGUCACUCAUUGGUCACUCUCUCAGGGCUGCUGGUGCUGACCGUGGCCACGGCUCUGUCAGUGGUCAGUGGUCACUCAGUGGUCACUCAGUGGUCACUCAUUGGUCACUCUCUCAGGGCUGCUGGUGCUGACCGUGGCCACGGCUCUGUCAGUGGUCAGUGGUCACUCAUUGGUCACUCAGUGGUCACUCAGGGUCACUCACUGGUCACUCUCUGGUCACUCUCUGGUCACUCAGGGCUGCUGGUGCUGACCGUGGCCACGGCUCUGUCAGUGGUCAGUGGUCACUCAGGGUCACUCAUUGGUCACUCUCUGGUCACUCAGGGCUGCUGGUGCUGA